AAAUGAAUAGACGGGGGCCCGCACAAGCAGUGGAGUAUGUGGUUUAAUUCGAGGCAACGCGAAGAACCUUACCAGGGUUUGACAUCCCGCGCCAGAGGCAGAGAUGCUUUGUUCCUUUCGGGGACGCGGAGACAGGUGGUGCAUGGUUGUCGUCAGCUCGUGUCGUGAGAUGUUCGGUUAAGUCCGGCAACGAGCGCAACCCUCGUGGCCAGUUGCCAUCAUUCAGUUGGGCACUUUGGCAAGACUGCCGUUGACAAAACGGAGGAAGGUGGGGAUGACGUCAAAUCAUCAUGCCCCUUAAGUCCUGGGCUACACACGUACUACAAUGGGCGUUACAACGGGCAGCCACACCGCGAGGUGGAGCAAAUCCCCAAAGGCGCCCCCAGUUCGGAUUGCAGGCUGCAACUCGCCUGCAUGAAGCCGGAAUUGCUAGUAAUGGCAGGUCAGCAUACUGCCGUGAAUACGUUCCCGGGCCUUGUACACACCGCCCGU
rnacentral:rRNA from 1 species